rnacentral:rRNA from 1 species
GAUGAACGCUAGCGGCAGGCCUAAUACAUGCAAGUCAAGGGGCCCAGCAAUGGGCACCGGCGGACGGGUGCGUAACGCGUACACAACAUACCUUUAAGUGGGGGAUAGCAUUGGGAAACUGGUGGUAAUACCCCAUAAUAAUAUUGGGAGGCAUUUCCUGAUAUUUAAAGCUCCGGCGCUUAGAGAUUGGUGUGCGUCCGAUUAGCUAGUUGGUGGGGUAACGGCUCACCAAGGCGACGAUCGGUAGGGGGUGUGAGAGCAUGACCCCCCACACGGGUACUGAGACACGGACCCGACUCCUACGGGAGGCAGCAGUAAGGAAUAUUGGACAAUGGAGGGAACUCUGAUCCAGCCAUGCCGCGUGAAGGAUGAAGGCGCUCAGCGUUGUAAACUUCUUUUGGAUGGGAACAAUAACUUCUACGUGUAGGAGCUUGAGGGUACCAUCAGAAUAAGCACCGGCUAACUCCGUGCCAGCCGCCGCGGUAA